GAUGAACGCUGGCGGCAUGCCUAAUACAUGCAAGUCGAGCGAAUGGAUUAAGAGCUUGCUCUUAUGAAGUUAGCGGCGGACGGGUGAGUAACACGUGGGUAACCUGCCCAUAAGACUGGGAUAACUCCGGGAAACCGGGGCUAAUACCGGAUAACAUUUUGAACCGCAUGGUUCGAAAUUGAAAGGCGGCUUCGGCUGUCACUUAUGGAUGGACCCGCGUCGCAUUAGCUAGUUGGUGAGGUAACGGCUCACCAAGGCAACGAUGCGUAGCCGACCUGAGAGGGUGAUCGGCCACACUGGGACUGAGACACGGCCCAGACUCCUACGGGAGGCAGCAGUAGGGAAUCUUCCGCAAUGGACGAAAGUCUGACGGAGCAACGCCGCGUGAGUGAUGAAGGCUUUCGGGUCGUAAAACUCUGUUGUUAGGGAAGAACAAGUGCUAGUUGAAUAAGCUGGCACCUUGACAGUACCUAACCAGAAAGCCACGGCUAACUACGUGCCAGCAGCCGCAGUAA
rnacentral:rRNA from 1 species